rnacentral:rRNA from 1 species
UACGUAGGGGGCAAGCGUUGUCCGGAAUCAUUGGGCGUAAAGCGCGUGUAGGCGGCUUGGUAAGUCUGGUGUGAAACCUCGGGGCUCAACCCCGAGCCUGCACUGGAUACUGCCUCGCUCGAGUCCGGGAGGGGAGAGCGGAAUUCCUAGUGUAGCGGUGAAAUGCGCAGAUAUUAGGAAGAACACCGGUGGCGAAGGCGGCUCUCUGGAACAGUACUGACGCUGAGACGCGAAAGCGUGGGGAGCAAACAGG